rnacentral:rRNA from 3 species
UUAGAUCGUACCCACACUUACUUGGAUAACUGUGGUAAUUCUAGAGCUAAUACAUGCAAACAGAGCUCCGACCGGAGACGGAAGGAGCGCUUUUAUUAGAUCAAAACCGAUCGGUGGUGGGUUCGCCCAUCAUCGUACAAUUUGGUGAAUCUGAAUAACUUUAAGCUGAUCGCACGGUCUCGCACCGGCGACGCAUCUUUCAAAUGUCUGCCUUAUCAACUGUCGAUGGUAGGUUCUGCGCCUACCAUGGUUGUAACGGGUAACGGGGAAUCAGGGUUCGAUUCCGGAGAGGGAGCCUGAGAAACGGCUACCACAUCCAAGGAAGGCAGCAGGCGCGCAAAUUACCCACUCCCGGCACGGGGAGGUAGUGACGAAAAAUAACGAUACGGGACUCAUCCGAGGCCCCGUAAUCGGAAUGAGUACACUCUAAACCCUUUAACGAGGAUCAAUUGGAGGGCAAGUCUGGUGCCAGCAGCCGCGGUAAUUCCAGCUCCAAUAGCGUAUAUUAAAGUUGUUGCGGUUAAAAAGCUCGUAGUCGAAUCUGUGUCUCGCGCCGUCGGUUCAUCGUUCGCGGUGUUAACUAACGUGCCGCGGGACGUCCUGCCGGUGGGCUUAGCUCGAGAGGGCGGCCCAAAUCAAUCCUGCCGCGGUGCUCUUCAUUGAGUGUCGAGGUGGGCCGGCACGUUUACUUUGAACAAAUUAGAGUGCUUAAAGCAGGCUAAAUUUCGCCUGAAUACUGUGUGCAUGGAAUAAUGGAAUAGGACCUCGGUUCUAUUUUGUUGGUUUUCGGAACCCCGAGGUAAUGAUUAAUAGGAACGGAUGGGGGCAUUC